GGGAAGGAAGGGGGAGGAGGAGGGUAAAAGUCUUUUCAAUCAAAUCUGUUGAUUCUGGAGUUCAGUUGCUAGCAUACUUGCCUAGGAUAUACAAAGCCCUGGAUUCAGUCCUCAGUACCACAUAGACUGGGCACCAUGGCAUAUGCCUGUAAUUCCAGAACUCUGAAGGUAGAGAUAGACCGUUCAGGAGUUCAAGGUCUUCCUCAGCUACACGGUGAGUUUGAGACCACCAAGCAAUCAAGCAAGCAAGCAAGGCACCCAUGUCCACAGGACCGUACUGGAGAACUCAUUUCCCGAGUCAGUGGGGUUCGGAAGCAGGAACGAUGCUUCUCUGACACAAGUCUCACAGCUCGGCCAGGAGUGCUGCUGCCCUCAGUACUCAGGAUCCAUCACUACUGUGGGAGGAAAAGCAGACCCUCAACUGAACUGCCAGGCCAUCAACACAGUUCCAUGUGAAUGCUGGAGUCUUACAAAGAGGGUUGA
rnacentral:lncRNA from 1 species